AAAAUUUUAAUUAAAAAAUUCAUUUUAGCUAAUUAAUAAAACAUAACAAGGCUCCAAAGGGAAUAUUUCUUUAUAACCAUUAGCAAAACUGUCCAUCUUCUAUUAAAAAUACAGAAAACUUCUCUAUACUGAAUAAAAUUAUCCCUAAUUGUGCCUCUCUAUUUUCUCUUUGCACUGUUGUGUGCUUAAUUCUCUCUUCUUGCUGCUGUGUGCGCAAACUUGAUAUUCGAUUCCCUUCGUUCAUGGAGGAAAUAGAAAGUUGACCAUGUUAACAGAGAACAAUAACAUCUAUGCCUCGAUCGAAGCAAGUUAGGAUUGGCUAUGUGAAUCCUUAAUAUCCAAUAUUGUUAACGACAAGCACUGGCAUAGUUGAGAAGUGAAAUAUUUUUUGAUAUAUUGAUUUAUUAUGUCAUUGUAUUAUCUAAAUUCAUGAGGUAAUAUAUUUUCUUCACUAUGAAAAAAAUUAUAUUUUCCUCCUA